GAUCCAACAGAAGUCUUUUAGGAAAUUGAGUAGACACAGUUGGGAUUCCGGGAUUCUUCCAAAAGUCUUCAAUGGAACCAUCGAUUUUUAAGGCUGAAGACUUCAAUUUGACUCAAGCUUAUUCCUUCUUGCUGCAAAGAGUUUUAGGCGCACUACAUGCACAUGCACACCCUGAUGAUAUAUCAAAAGGGAAUGAAAUCAUGGCUUGCAACAACUCAAUGAAGGUAAAAAGAGCAAGCGACGACACCUAAUGGCAUCUAUACAUUUAUUGUCUACUACAAAUCACAUUGGACGCUGCAAAAGACCACCGAAAAUCAACAUCUUGCACAUCCCCAUACCCAAAGGCGUAUUGUAGUCGCACAACGUGCGUCGAUGAACAAC